rnacentral:tRNA from 1 species
AGGGCGUUAGCUCAGUUUGGUAGAGCAGCGGACUCCAAAUCCGCAGGCCGCAGGUUCGAGUCCUGCACGCCCUGCCC